rnacentral:rRNA from 1 species
UACAGAGGGGGCAAGCGUUGUUCGGAAUUACUGGGCGUAAAGGGCGCGUAGGCGGCCUUCUAAGUCGGACGUGAAAUCCCCGGGCUCAACCCGGGAACUGCGUCCGAUACUGGAAGGCUUGAAUCCGGGAGAGGGAUGCGGAAUUCCAGGUGUAGCGGUGAAAUGCGUAGAUAUCAGGAGGAACACCGGUGGCGAAGGCGCUCAUCUGGCCCAAUACUGACGCUGAGGCGCGAAAGCUAGGGGAGCAAACGGG